rnacentral:rRNA from 1 species
AUUGAACGCUGGCGGCAGGCCUAACACAUGCAAGUCGAGCGGAGCGGCGGACGGGUGAGUAAUGCCUAGGAAUCUGCCUGGUAGUGGGGGAUAACGUCCGGAAAGGGUCGCUAAUUCCGCAGACUAUAAUAUUGGCCUAGGUCGAAUUAGCGAGUUUGUGGUUGAAAGGCCUACCAAGGCGACGAUCCGUAACUGGUCUGAGAGGAUGAUCAGUCACACUGGAACUGAGACACGGUCCAGACUCCUACGGGUGGCAGCAGUGGGGAAUAUUGGAAAAUGGGCGAAAGCCUGAUCCAGCCAUGCAGCGAGUGUGAAGAAGGUCUGCGGAUUUUAAAGCGCUUUAAGUUGGGAGGCGUUACCAACAGAAUACACAACGGCUAACUUCGUGCCAGCAGCCGCGGUCCUAC